rnacentral:tRNA from 1 species
GUCCUUGUAGCUUAAUAACAAAGCAUAGCACUGAAGAUGCUAAGAUGCUGUCCCACACACCCAAGGACA